rnacentral:misc_RNA from 1 species
GUGGCCUUAAGAAUGACAUGUUGGGCGAUGUCUUCUCCCAAUAUUUCAUUCAAGGCUUCGUGCAAGUACUCCCUGAACAUUGUAUAGCUAGUAUAUAAACCCCCUUCAAUUGCAACGACUGUUCUUCUCAUCUUUAUGUCACUUCUACCUCUUAUACUGCUGAUGCCCCCUGUCCCAUCCCGACCAAUCUUCUUCAAGAUUCCCACAAUGCCAGCAGCUGCCAAUCGAGCAGCCCUACGGGUCACCACAUCACAUAUUCGUACAACAAGCUUUCUGACCUUCAAAGGGACUUCUGGAAUCUCCAGUUUUUCUUUCAAGAUUCUAGCCACUUCCUGCAAAUCAGGAGAGUCAUCCUCG